rnacentral:rRNA from 1 species
UACGAAGGGGGCGAGCGUUGUUCGGAUUUACUGGGCGUAAAGGGCGCGCAGGCGGUUCUGUUUGUCGAGUGUGAAAGCCCCGGGCUUAACCUGGGAAUGGCCGUUGAAACUGGCGAACUGGAGUGUGGCAGAGGGGGGUGGAAGUUCCGCGGUGUAGCAGUGAAAUGCGUAGAGAUGCGGAGGAACACCGGAUGGCCGGAAGGCAGCCCCCCUGGGCUAACACUGACGCUCAGG